rnacentral:lncRNA from 1 species
UCUCUAUUACGGGCCCUAGUACACUUCAGGGACUCAAAAGCUUUGCUGAUAUAAUGCAAGGUGAUAAAAAAGUAGAAAGACUUGGGAUAAUCUUGAUUUCUGAAGGCAUCAAACAGGAAUUAGAAUAAAGCAGCAGGAAAAACGAAGGCCUUUUUAAGUUCCAUGAGAACUACGGUUUGCAAGACUGGUCAAAACAGUACAAUGCAAGCGGCAAGAAUCAGGAAGUGCACAGAAACAAGAAGCUCGGUGCACACUGGGAUCAGGCAAGCAUCUGGGAGAAGACUGUAGCAAGACUGGAUCCUGAGCAGUUCCCAUGUGAUCCAUCAGGCUCUGAACAUGAAUUUUAAUGGGCUCAGAACCACUUCUCUACCCUGAGGUCACAGGCUGUCAGAGUGAAUCUUCCACAAACUGAUUGGAACCUGAAGAAUUUGCUCUGUCAAGAGAGAGUGUUUCAAUUGAAUAUUGCAACUGAAGACAUUCACUCUGCGUUGAUCACCUAUGGAGUGAUCAAAUUUCAACCCUUUGAAGUUUCCUAAAUGAAAGAGGCACUCUGAAUUCAAAUGCUGUUUGAAUGAACUGACUGCUUCAGCACUGUCUUGUAGAUAUAGUCCAUUCAAAUAAAAGACAAAUAUCUGACUGAAUUUUGUUAGCACGUUAAGACAUUUAUUAUAAAAAGGUUUAAGAAGAAAAUAAUGGUCACAAUUCUUCAGAAAACAUGUGAACUAAUGUGACAAAACACUGUGGUGUUGCAAACUCAAGGU